AACCACCUACCAUGACCAAGUGCGCUGUAAAUGUAGGACAGAAAUUCGAGUGGAAUACAAACGGAUCAUCAAGCGACAUAUUCGAGGGAAAACCAUGUUUGGAUGUGCCUUAUCUGAUUCAAAUAUUUUUAAAUAUGGUACCACAUGCGAUCAUGGGAACACAGGAAAAGUAUUUUUCUUCCCAAACAUUUCUUGCAUUUUGAAACGGAAAAGAAGAGUGGCAGUAAAAUAUAUCCCUGUGCUAUCUUUCUCCGAUUAUCAAUGGUAGGCAUUGCAUAAUUCACCCUUAUCCACCGGAGCCAUUUGUUUCCUCCUCUUUGGGAAGAGGGGGACGCCAGAAAAAAAAACCCGACUACAUUCAGUUGCUGCCUUCUCGGUGGUGCCUGCAAUUGUUUGGCAAUGCCCUUUUCUCUCUUAGGAAGGACUUGCAGACAGUAGCGGGGGAACAAGCAGAGGAAGGAUGCAUUUAACGCUGGAUGUGUGCUGCAUUCAGGGAGAUUCGGCAGUAAUAGCAGCUAUAGCAGAAACAGCGAGUGCGGAGGGCCUGGGAAGCACCCAGCCCCACUAUCUCCUCCUUUUCCUCCCCCCUGCAGGACCAUGCUUGCGUGAGGGAUGAGGCUGUGCACAGGGACACCAGGCCAGAGCUGCGGCCUACUUCUCACAAGAGCCGGUCUCUCGACUGCAAGAUCAGUGAACACAUUGCCACCAUCAAAUCAGCAUCUUUGGUCAUCAGGUAGAUCCAGGAGCAUGAGCAGGACUUUGAGCUGCGGGAGCAGAUGUCUGGGUAUAAGCGCAUGCGGCGGCAGCACCAGAAGCAGCUGAUCGCCCUGGAGAACAGGCUAAAGGCCGAGAUGGAUGAGCAUAGGCUCCGGCUGCAGAAGGAAUUAGAGACACAAGCGAACAACACUUACAUUGAGCUGGAAAGACUGGCUAAACGCCACGUUGCUCAAACAGACAAAGAGAUGAAGUCAGUUGCAGCUGAAGAGAGGAGGAUCCAGCAACAGAUUGUUGCCCAGCAAAAGAAAGAGCUGACUACUUUCUUAGAGAACCAGAAAAAGGAGUACAGGCUUUGCAAAGACAAGAUCAAAGAAGAGAUGAAUGAAGACCUGUGUACACCCAAGGAGGAGAAGCAGGAGCGUCUGUCCAGGCACAAAGAAACAAUGCAGCGCUCUCAGGCUGAGGAGGAAGCCCAUUUGCUGGCCCAGCAGAGGCUGGUCUACGACCGGAGCUGUAGGGCCCUCAAACACCGGAGUCUGGUCAGGAGGCAUGAGUUUGAACAGGAGCAGCUGAGAGAGGAGUUGAACAAGAAGAGGACCCAGAAAGAGAUGGAACAUGCCCUGAUGAUCCGGCAGGACGAGUCCACCCAGGACCUGGAGCGGAGGCAGCUGCAGAUGCUGCAGAAGCUACGUAUUGAACUCAUGCGGCUACAGCAUCAGACGGAGCUCGAAAACCAGGAGGAGUACAAUGGCCGGCGGCAGAGAGAACUACACAGGAAACACACUCUGGAGCAGCGGCAGCAGCCCAGAAACCUCAAGACGCUGGAGAUGCAGAUCAAGAAACAAUUCCAGGAUACCUGUAAGGUGCAGAACAAGCAGUACAAAGCUCUUAGGAACCAUCAGCUGGAGGUCUCUCCCAAAGGUGACCAUAAGACCAUCUUGAAGGGCCUGAAAGAGGAGCAGACACGCAAGUUGGCCAUACUGGCCGAGCAGUAUGAGCAGAGCAUCAACGAGAUGAUGGCAUCACAAGCGAUGCGAUUAGAUGCAGAGCAGGAAACAGAGUGCCAAGCUCUGAAGCAGCAGCUGAAGCAAGAGAUGGAGCUACUGGACGCCUACCAGAGAAAAACCAAGUCACAGAUGGAGACCCAACAUGAGCGAGAGCAGCAGAAACUUGAGCAGAAGGUCUCCAUACGCAGAGCCCACCUUGAACAGAAGAUUGAAGAGGAACUGGCCGCACUUCAGAAGGAACGUACUGAAAGGGUCAAGCACUUGUUGGAACGUCAGGACAGAGAAAUGAAUGCUUUUGACACAGAAAGUAGAAGCCUCGGCUUUGGAAGCCUGGGAUCUCUGGACUUCCCCAAAGAAGACAACAGAUGAAAGUGGAUUUAUCUUUAGAGGACAACAUAUCCGUGCCCUUUUCAUGUCCACUUGGCCGUUUGUCACAUCCACGGUGACGAAGCUGGAUAACUUUCUCUAUUGCUUUCUUCUCUCUUAGAUAUUGCAUCUUUGAAUCGAGGUGUUACGUGCAAUGAGAACUUCUUUUGUGAAACUUGAAGGGUUGGGGGUGGGGGGAAGUAAAACAAAAGAAUCUACAACAACAUGUCAGUAAAAAUCAAAGCUAGUCAGUGUAACUCAAAACUUAUGUGUUUAAAAAUAACAGACUCUUUCCUCCAUGCCAUUUUCUCCUUUUGGUAUGAAUUGAAUAAAUCAGGAAAUUUUAGUAAAAUGGGCACUUUGAUAUGUUUAAGUAGAAACCCAUCAUGUUCAUACGAUGCUUAAUGUGUGUGUUACAUGGAGGGACAUUGUGGAAUGUGAGCUGCGGACUCCCCCGUGGUGUUAAGCUGCUUUGUCUUUUUUUUUUUGUUUUUUAAAAAUCUCAUUUUAUUUUUGUUUUAUUUAUUUUUACUUACUCAGAAUGUGAAUAUUACUGUAUGGGGUCACUGGAUAAAGUCAGAGUUUAUUCAUUUUUUAAAAUGUUUUGGUCAUACUUCCAUAUUGUGCUUAUGCAUACAGUAUACUGUGGUCCCUCACUUUUCUAGGCAACAGUUCUCAACUUUUCUUUACUUGAUAUGUAGGAUCAAUUGGCAUUAGCUUGAUCAACCCGUUUAUCACAACUCAAGAUCCCACUUGGUAAAACUGCUUAUUAUUGCAUGCACUUUAAGGACAAAUUCAGGUUGUGAAGUGAAGCAUGAAUCUGUCAGAGAUUUUAGCUGUUUGUAAAUAAAAGUGGUCAUAGCAUUUUUGUUUUAAGCCUAUGGAUACUGGACAUAAGCGCCAUAUUUGAUAUGAUAAUUUCACAAAUGCCUUUAUUUAAGUUGUGCCUGAAGCAGAUUUUAGUUAUGUGUUUGUUAUAUCUAUAUUUUAUUUACUGAGGCCGGCACCAUUUUUUUUCCUUUGGUUUCAUCUAAACUUGUCAAUCAUUUAAUGUUCACUUAUCAAAGUUCUUGUAAAGGAAAAUGGUGAGAAUUGUGCUGUAUAACUUUUGAUAUGAAUAUUUGUACUUGAGAAUAUAGCUAGAACAUACAGAGACACUGGUCUAUUACUGAUAACAGAGCUUAACGAUAAAGAUUUUGCUUCACUUUUGUUUUAUAUUAUAUAGAGAUAUGGUCAUACAAUAGCUCAAUAUAUUGCUAAGUGAAAUCACUAGACUCUCAGAUUGUAUAAAUGCUGGCAAAUGGAACCAUAGACUUCCUGCAGUAUCAGUAUGAUGAUCUUUUCUGGAUCAGCGGUUCUACUAAAAGCAAACACAACAACAUGUGGGUCCAGAUUGCAUUUGAGUAAUUAGUGUCUAAUGAUCAGAUUUACACAUUUUUUGCCAUGUUCAUAAUGGUCAUUGAACAGGUUGCACAAUGUUUCCAUUUAUAUUGAAUGGAAAGAGAAUUGUUUGGUGCUUAAUUUCUAAUACCACCUUUAGCCUUGUAGUUUUUUGUCUUGGAGAGACGAUUGAUUUUUACAAAAUGUAACCGUGAAGCAUUUUGAAACCCCUCUGAGUCAAAACACUACUAAGUUUUUCAAACACUCAUGACAUAUUUAGAGUACCCCAUGCAGUGAAAACCCUCUCCAAUGAAGUAUAUGUAUGAAAAAAUAAAUACUAUUUUAUCACGGAGCCACAACUUGUAUUAAUGGUCGGUCAUAUUCCUCACAGGGCUGAAAGGAGGAAGAUGUCCCCUGAAUUAACAAAGUAUUCUAAAUGGAGGAAUAUAAUGACAUUCAAAUAUAAUUUCUGAUGGCAAUAGAACUCAAAUGCUCUUGUUUUACAUGUUAAAGAAAAAAAAAUCUAAAUUAUGAGUGUGAAGUUGAAUGGCUCCACUAGAUUUUUCAGCCUUUUACAUUUUCACAAACUUUCUGAAAUUUGAUGAAAACGUUUCUCAUAUGCAGUAAGGCCUUUUGUCUGGUCACAUAUUACUCAAGCCUUGUGGACAAAUGGCUCCAUAAAAAAAAAAGUGCUAUUGGGGUGCUUCGGUGUCUUGAAUAAGGUUUGCGUGAGAGCUUCAGAACAGCAACAAACCUCACGAUUUAUGUGAAGUUUACGUUACUAGAAAGAUGUAUUUAGUUAGAAUAAAGGGGGACUUUCCUUAACAACCUUAUUCACCAUUUCCUGUGCAGUUCAAAAACAAAAUAAAAGAGAUUCUGUUGAAAAAUAA